GAUGAAGAACGUAGCGAAAUGCGAUAAGUAAUGUGAAUUGCAGAAUUCAGUGAAUCAUCGAAUCUUUGAACGCACAUUGCGCCCGCCAGUAUUCUGGCGGGCAUGCCUGUUCGAGCGUCAUUACAACCCUCAGGCCCCCGGGCCUGGCGUUGGGGAUCGGCGGAAGCCCCCUGCGGGCACAACGCCGUCCCCCAAAUACAGUGGCGGUCCCGCCGCAGCUUCCAUUGCGUAGUAGCUAACACCUCGCAACUGGAGAGCGGCGCGGCCACGCCGUAAAACACCCAACUUCUGAAUGUUGACCUCGAAUCAGGUAGGAAUACCUCUGAACUUAAGCAUAUCAAUAAGCGGAGGA
rnacentral:misc_RNA from 1 species